AAUGCCGCGUGUGUGAAGAAGGCCUGCGGGUUGUAAAGCACUUUCAGUAGAGAAGAAAAGCCUAGGGUUAAUAACCCUGAGUCCUGACGUAACCUACAGAAGAAGCACCGGCUAACUCCGUGCCAGCACCCUCGGUGACUGAGCGGGCUGGCAAGGCGCAUA
rnacentral:rRNA from 1 species